GUAGAACAGAUCCAAGCAAAGUGUAAGUGAAUGAGUUAGUUGUGGAGCCCCCUUGUCUAUGUUGGAAGAUCGAGGUCAGUUUGUUUGGGGUUCGCGAUUUAGAAGUGAACCCAUCGCUUCUUGGAUUUACAAAGUGUAACUAGAACUGUACCAGUUGAAUGCAGCAGUGCCCAGUGAAUUCCUGAACUAGUGAAUAGAAAAAGAGGAAAACAAUAUCCCCUGCCCCCUAUCAGACAGUACAUGAAGUAGCCACCCACCAACUAAUAGAGAAACCACCACAAGGGAAAAGGGACAGAAAUCAGACUGGAACUUUGAGCAGAGCAAUAACAGAGCUUUUAUAGAGAGUUUUUCGUUUCAAGCGCUUUACAUACAUGGGUCAGUAUCAUUAUCACCAUUUGACAGGAGGGGAAACUGAGGCGGAGUAACCUGUCCUAGGUCAGACAGCAGGGCAGUGGCACAGCUGGGAAUAGAAUGUUGGUCUCCGAGGCCAGCACAACAGUGUACAGUAAGGGGAAGAGAAUUCCAGAGUUCUGGGGCUUUAACUGUGAUGGUCCUGCCUGAAUGGUCCUGCCUGUGAGGGUCCUGUCUGAAAUUUUAACAUCAGAGUUGGCAGCUCCAUACCCAUCAAUCUUGUUUGCCACAGUGGGAUGUGAAGCAAGAGGCACUCCCUCCUGUGGCCUAAAUUAUUGAAGGCUUUAGGCCAAGAUUGUCAAGGGAGUCAUGAUUUCCGGUGCCCAACUGUUGAUGCCUUUAAGGGGUCCAGAUGUUCAGAGGCUGGGACUCCCUGUAAGGUGCACUCCAGAUCAGUGGUCACUUUUAUGAAUAGUGGCUUAAAAAAAUAACAGUACAUAUAGGAUCAGAUGAAACACCCUACUUCCGAACAGUGCCAAACUUUGUGGAGGUGGUGGCUGGCUAGAAAACUGAACCAAAGGGUGAUUCAGAAUUUGGCAAAUGGCACUGUUUAGAACAGGUUGGUCCAAAACCUUUGAACAUGCCUAAAUUUGUGAGAGAGGAGGCAACUGGAAAAUUUGCAAAAUGGAGCCCCCGUUGGCUGAACCAAACCCUCACAUCUGAACAUUCUUGAAACUCAACCCAGAUCUACCUUAAGUCUGUGUAAGGCUUCCAUUACUGUAGUAUCUGAGCACCUCACAAUCUUUAGUGGGUUUAUCCCCAACACCCUGGGAGACAGGGAAGUGCUUUUAUCCCUAUUUUGCAGAUGGAGAAUUGAGUCACAGACAGGCUAAGGAUGGGAUUCACUUAGGCACCUUAGUCCCAUUGAAAUCAAGGGGAUUUAAAUACCUUUGUGAAUCCCACCCUCAGUGAUUUGCACCAGGUCUAGUGGGAAGUCUGUGCUAAAGCAUGAAAUUGAAUCUAGGUCUGUCUCCUGGGCCAGUACCCUAACACUGGACCAUUCUUCCUCUGAGCUUUGGGUCUUGGACCCAUCUCUGACUUAGAGUAAGACUUUGAAUCACGCUCACUGCGCUAUUUGUUUAAUGCUUCUUAGUACAGUUAUCUGUGUUUCUGUACCUGUCCAUAGUAAACUGCACUGAGCUACUGCAGAGGAAUGUAUUAGUCUGCAGUUCAAAGCAACGACCGAACCUUUCCACUCUUCAUUAGACAUUGCACCUCCCAGCUUCCGCUCCACUUUCGACAUGCGCCCCAACCCGAUUUGUCUCCCAGCUCUGAGUGAGUGGGAGCUGCGAGUGCUCUGUGUAGCCCAGCAGGAUCUAUUCUUUCUAAGCCAUUUCCAUUUCCAGGCUUAACUGUGUGGUGUGGUGUGAGUAUGUGUUUUUAUUACGAAAGCAGUCUGCUCUUUAGGGAACUCUGCAUAAGAUUAUGAUUCACCUCCUUUGGAAGCACUUUUUCCAUUUUCCAACAUUUCUCCUAAUCUAAACCAGUGAGCGUGGCUGCUUUUCCCAAUUUCACAGGGAAAAGCACGGGGGAGGGAAGCAAAGCAGAGUUUGGCUAACCUCACAGGGUGUGUGUUCUUUAGCUGGACAAGUUCUAGUUAGAAGCAGUUAGAAGCAGUUGAUCCAUUUACCCCUCACUGGCGGCCUGCAGGAGCUGGAGUGAAGGAGACUUCACAGUCCUUGCUGAUCCUUUCCUUUCCAACCUUGUAUGGGCUGCAGCUAGAUUUGCUUCAACAUUUUUUUCUCAGAAACCAGGAGGUUUCAGCCCUCUCUUUAAUUAACAUUUUUAAGGAAGAGGCCAAAAAAAACCUGGAAAGUUGGUGAGACACUUGUGGUUGCUACGGUGGCUUCAUGUUAUUUUUCCUUUUAAGGCAUUCGGAAGGUAGCAAUUGAAAUAUCAGAAGGCAUUUGUUAUCUAGGCUAUGGGGAAAACGCCAAUAGCAAUACCUUGGAGGAGAGUGGUCAGAAAUCAAGAGAACUUGGUGGUAUUUCCUGUCACUUUUAUUUACAUGUUUAUUAUUAAUAAUAAUAAUUGUAUAUUAAAAUCGAGCCUAGAGGCUCCAUCCAAGAUCAGGGCCCCAUUCUGUUAGGUGCUGUACAAACACGUAGAGCUUGUUUAUACCAGGGUAAAAGAUGUCUUUUAAAACUCUAGUGUAGACAUGGCAAAUUGGAUUUCAUGUCUACGGUGAGCAGUGACACACCGGAUGAAGGAGGGUUGAGUGGCUAGGGUCCUUAGGACAUGGGAGAUCUAGAUUCAAGUCUUUGCUCUGCCACAGAUUUUUCCUGUGUGACUUCGGGCAACUUAUGCCUACACUGCCAUCAGGGGUGUGGCUGCAGCUCCCGUUGACACAUCUGAGCUGGCUUUAAUCUAGCUAGCCUGGGUGCCAGUAGUUGUAGCAGCAGCAGCAGCAAAGGCUAGCCUCAUGAAUACAGCCCUGCCCAGGACGCUUAAGCAGCUGCCACAGCUACACUGCUCAUGUUACUUGAGGUAGCUUUGAUCUAGUUACACACCGCCUGACUGCAGCAUGGACCUGUCCAAUGUCUCUUCGUGCCUCAGGCCUCUUUCUGUAAAAUGGGGAUAAUAGCCCCGCCCUACCUCACAGGCUAAAUACAUUGUGAAGUGCUCAGACGCUGCAAUAUAAAUACCUUAUAUAGAUGGGGCUUUAGGACUGUAACUGGAGCUGUACUUUUUUUAUACAUAGGCUUGUAUUGAUCAUUAUUAUAAACAGCUGAAGUAAGUGUCAGCUGUCCUAUCUACCUUGGCUGACUGAAUGAGUUCUUAGGUGUCAUGCCAGAAGCCGGAUCUUGAGGAAAGGGGGCAGCCUUGUGAUGCAAGGGACAGUUUGUCACUUAUCGGAUUAGCGGGGUCAACCAGUGUUGUCAUAGAAUAUCAGGGUUGGAAGGGACCUCAGGAGGUCAUCUCGUCUAACCCCCUGCUCAAAGCAGGACCAAGUCCCACACAGAUUUUUUUUACCCCAGUUUCCUAAAUGGCCCCCUCAAGGAUUGAACUCACAACCCUGGGUUUAGCAGGCCAAUGCUCAAACCACUGAGUGUCAGUUGCUUGUGUCCUUCCCGUGUGCUUUCCCAGCUCUGUGCAGAUAGCUGGUUCAGCAGACCAUGAUAGUACUACCCCGUGUGGUGAAGUGCUGGAGGCUGGAAUGUCGUUGCCUCCGUAGCGCUCUUUAGGCUGCUCAGUGCUUUUGUUCUUGGAGCUUCAUUGUUAUUAGUAGAUAAUGCAGAAGACUUCAAUGUUACUCACAAAGAAAGACCACAGGCACGGCUCAGUGACACAGGCACGUGGCCAGGCUUAUUGCCACCUAGACCUACUCUCAGCUCCUUGGCUCCAUAGUUACAGGCACACUGACACCAGUUCCUAGUAGCAAGGAAUGGCUCAGUCGGCAGCAGGCGUUUGUGCCAUCCCCUGGACCAUGCAAAGAAUUAAGGUAAAGAACCCUGACAUUUAUAGGCUAAGACAAACGACUAAAAUACCCAACCAAUACGCCACCUUACGAUGUAUUUCAUAACUUCUAUUCCUUACUUCCCCUUGUUCCUAAUAUCUUGGACAAAACAUCCCUAUUCACUAUAUUGUCAAACCAUCGUAUCUUGUACUCGACUGGGAUGUAGCUGUACUGGCUGAAAUAUAUUUACAUAAAUAUCUAGUGCCUCGUCCACUAGCAACAACUUUGCCAAGUUCAUGUACAGGACAGUGAACUUGUAAGCAUCUGCUUUAAUACAGGGCCUGACUUUGGUUCACAGCGUCUGGUUCAGGCCUCGGAUCUUGCACCAAACUCUCUGUAUUUGGUGUAUGUUUGUCGUGGGUGUCUCUGAAAAUAUUUGUGUUACAGGAAGACAUGGGGCAUAUGAGAAUGAUUUUAAUCUAAGCCCUGUAAAGAUCAGCUACCUACAUCAAUAGGCGGCUUAGAGUGAGAGAGAGAAAAGAUAGGACCAUGGACUGGAAGUCAAGAGACCUGCAUUCUGUGCCACUGACCUGCUGUAUGAUCUUAGGCCAGUCAUUUUGUCAUCUAUGUGCCUCAGUUUCCCCAAUCUUUAAAAUUGAGAUAAUAAUACUUAAUAGUACCGGCUGAAAAAACAGAGUAUUUUUGUAAAUAAUUGAGAGGUAUUUCGGUCAAAAUCAAUUUUUUUUUUAUU